CCUCGUGCGAGGCAUCCCAGCCGAUGAACGGCUUAGAAAAGUAUAAAUAUUAAGUAAGCCACAAACUCGCUGUUGGACCUACCGUCAGUGCAUGCAUUCCGGCCGUUGAACGGUUAUAAAGGGCAUAAACGGAAAAUUUAAUCACGUCAGAAUAAACGGAUUCAAAUUUGUGG